ACGGGUUUUUACUGAGCUGCAAGACUGUGCAGGAGUAGAGAAGGCUUUGUAGAUGAAGAGGACUAGCUUGAAAUCCCAUUUCUGACACUUGAAUCUGUGGCCUUGGGGAAACUAGGAUGGAUUGGAAGAAGCAAGAGUGAGGACACAGCAGCAGUUGAGAAGCAAUCCAGCAUUGAUGGCAGUCCCCUUACUUAAGGGAGAUGGAGAGAACCGGAAGAGCUCUGGAGCUAUUUAGGAGGAACCUAUGCUGUCAUCAAAGACUUUACCAAAGCCCAAGAGAUGGAGGCAACAUCAUGUAGGCCCAGUAAAGGUAACAGGUACAUACAGACUACUUGCAAGGGGGCAGACUGUUUAAUGAAUAAAGAGCUACGUUUGAGAAGCUCUGAGUUCAAAAGUCAAC